rnacentral:rRNA from 1 species
UACGUAGGGUGCGAGCGUUGUCCGGAAUUAUUGGGCGUAAAGAGCUCGUAGGCGGUGUGUCACGUCGGCCGUGAAAACCUGGGGCUUAACUCUGGGCGUGCGGUCGAUACGGGCAUCACUAGAGUUCGGCAGGGGAGACUGGAAUUCCUGGUGUAGCGGUGAAAUGCGCAGAUAAUCAGGAGGAACACCGGUGGCGAAGGCGGGUCUCUGGGCCGAUGACUGACGCUGAGGAGCGAAAGCAUGGGUAGCGAACAGG